AUUGAACGCUGGCGGCAGGCUUAACACAUGCAAGUCGAGCGGGGUGAGGUGCUUCAGUACUGAUCCUAGCGGCGGACGGGUGAGUAAUGCUUAGGAAUCUGCCAUUUAGUGGGGGACAACAUUCCGAAAGGAAUGUUAAUACCGCAUACGUCCUGCGGGAGAAAGCAGGGGAUCUUCGGACCUUGCGCUAAAUGAUGAGCCUAAGUCGGAUUAGCUAGUUGGUGGGGUAAAGGCCUACCAAGGCGACGAUCUGUAGCGGGUCUGAGAGGAUGAUCCGCCACACUGGGACUGAGACACGGCCCAGACUCCUACGGGAGGCAGCAGUGGGGAAUAUUGGACAAUGGGCGGAAGCCUGAUCCAGCCAUGCCGCGUGUGUGAAGAAGGCCUUUUGGUUGUAAAGCACUUUAAGCGAGGAGGAGGCUACCUGGAUUAAUACUCUGGGAUAGUGGACGUUACUCGCAGAAUAAGCACCGGCUAACUCUGUGCCAGCCGCCGCGGUAAUAC
rnacentral:rRNA from 1 species